UAAGGAAUAUUGCUCAAUGGGAGAAAUCCUGAAGCAGCAACGCCGCGUGGAGGAUGAAGGGUCUAUGACUUGUAAACUCCUGUAAAGAAGGAAAAAAUUCCCAUUUGAUGGGAGAUGAUGGUACUUCUGGAGUAAGCCCCGGCUAACUACGUGCCAGCAGCCGCGGUAAUACGUAGGGGGCAAGCGUUGUCCGGAUUUACUGGGUGUACAGGGUGCUCAGGCGGAUUUGUAAGUCAGAGGUGAAAUCUUACAGCUUAACUGUGAAACUGCCUUUGAUACUGCAAGCCUAGAGUAUGGAAGAGAGUGAUGGAAUAUCUGGUGUAGCAGUGAAAUGCGUAGAUAUCAGAUAGAACACCAAUGGCGAAGGCAGUCACUUGGUCCAUUACUGACGCUAAAGCACGAAAGCGUGGGUAGCAAACA
rnacentral:rRNA from 1 species